CUUUCUGAUGCAACUUUUUUCAACUUAUCUAAUCUGCUGCUUUGCACAAAUGUUUGCAUUGCUGUAGGAUAAUUUCACUGAGUUAACUGGAGAAUUUGAACUGUUAAUAAUCAUUCAGGCGUUCUCCCCCUUGCUUCCAUGACUGGGUACAAAGGAACUGAUACAGUGGGACAAAACACGUGUGAGUGCCAUGCUAACGUUUACAUGUUGAAAUGCUGGUUCCCUUCUGGUUUAGUUGGUAUCUCAGAGCUGUGUGGAAACAGUUCUUCAUUCCAAAGUAAUGGGCAUGAGUGACUUUGGCCUUUGUCUUCAGGAUUAAUUUUUGAUAUCUUUUCCAUAUUACUUGUUUCAGAAUCAUUAGUAUUAUUCCAGUCACUUACUUCAGUCUCCUUGGAGAGAAGUGUCACCAAAUUAAUUCUAUGUUUCUCUUAACUCAUACUGUUACAAUAUCCUUUCUAACUGAGGCAUGUGUACAUGUACUAAAAUUACAUUUAAUGUUUAGAAGGGUCUUUGAAAAAUAUCAAACAAGAAAAGGAUGAGGCAUCAUAUAGAUGAACUUUCAGUAAGUGUUACAAUGUGUAAUAAGAAUGGCACGCUUUAAAAUGCAGAUGUUGAAUAUUAGGUUCUUCUGUAUGAACACUUCACUUGGAGUUGAGACUGUAUACAGCCUAUGAAAAAGUUAUGAUCUAAACAUAAAUCAUCUCUUUUCUUUUAGAUAUAGAAAAUGUGGCCAGAUGUUAUAAAUUAUUUUAGUUCAGCUAUAUUUAGCAUAAAUGAAAAUCUGAGUUAGUGUCAUAGACCAGACCACAAGCCUUUGUGAAUGUGAUGUGCUUUUGAAGAUGUAGCAGGAAUCUCAGCAGCCACUCUAUAAUUAAACUCACCAUUUAUUUCUCAACCUUCUCUUUUUGCAUUCAGAUGUUCAAGUUCUGCUAGAUAACUAGUAUGCCAUACUGUUGGAAACAAUUUGGGGGAAAAAAUGAAAGAUUGUUGUUAGCAGUAUAAUUCCAUUUAAUGGUCUUGAUAGUGCUUUUUGACUAAUUUUGCAAGAAAUGAAACACUUGAGUUGAAGUUCUGGCAUGAAUACACCUUCUGAGAAGUGCUUUUAUUUAGUCCGUAUUCAUUUUUAUCUAAGGGAGCUGAAGCAGAAAGCUUGUAUAUUGAACUUGUGAAGUGUGAAGAUGAAGGAGUUACAGGUUUUUAAGUCCGCAUCAGAAAAGAAGUGUGUGAAAAUAAAGUCUCGGGGAAUUGAAAAAGAUCCUUGUAGGGUUUGUGAGGUGAAAACACUGAUGAGCGGUUUGUCUUCACAUCUUCACUCCAGUUUGGGGUUUGUUGAGGGGUGUUUCUUGUUUGCACUUUGUCACUUUUGUUGUGUGUUUCCUGUAUGAAACUUACUGUAAGCCCUCUUGAAGUCCAAAGAAUUCAAAUUUCCUGAUUUUUUUUUCCUCUAGAAGUGAGGUUUCUCUAGCAAAAUAUAUUUAACCAUUAUAUAUGUUAAGGUCAAACUGGAGACAUCUUGAAGACAACAUGCAAAAACCUCUAACUGUGUUACUUUGAACAUGUUCUAGUGACCUAGCAUUGUAUCUGAGAAGCAAGUGUACUGCUGUAACACUUUGAACAACCUUCUCCAGGGAGAGAGAAGACAAAUACUUGUGGAGAUGCUAUUGAAUAUUAAGAGAGAGUGUCGAAACCAGAGUUCAUGUGGAUCGUGAGAAGACUUCAGAAGGUGGUGCAGAGCAGCUAGAUCAUAUGAUAUGGAAGAAAUAAACUUCAGUAAGCUAUUUUUGUGAGUAUGUGGCCUCACCUCAACUGUAUUGUGUCCAGUUGUAGAUAGGUUUUCUCUUCAGAUCUUUUCCUAGGAAAAAAAGCAACACUGGUAUGUUUUUCUUUCUGCUUGCAAGCAGAAAUGCAG